rnacentral:pre_miRNA from 1 species
AUGCACAACACCUGGGAUCUUGUUCAGUAGCAGAUUCUGAUGCUGGGGGUCUAGGUGGGCCCCAGACUGUGCAUUCCUAACAAACUCCCAGAGGUGAUAUU